GGGGAUUUGCCAAUGGGCGAAACCUGUGCAGCCUGCCGCGUGUAUGAAGAAGGCCUUCGGGUUGUAAAGUACUUUCAGUUGUGAGGAAGGNUGUGUAGUUAAUAACUGCGCAUUUUGACGUUAGCAACAGAAGAAGCACCGGCUAACUCCGUGCCAGCAGCCGCGGUAAUACGGAGGGUGCGAGCGUUAAUCGGAAUUACUGGGCGUAAAGCGCAUGCAGGUGGUUUGUUAAGUCAGAUGUGAAAGCCCGGGGCUCAACCUCGGAAGGUCAUUUGAAACUGGCAAACUAGAGUACUGUAGAGGGGGGUAGAAUUUCAGGUGUAGCGGUGAAAUGCGUAGAGAUCUGAAGGAAUACCAGUGGCGAAGGCGGCCCCCUGGACAGAUACUGACACUCAGAUGCGAAAGCGUGGGGAGCAAACAGGAUUAGAUACCCUGGUAGUCCACGCCGUAAACGAUGUCUCUUGGAGGUUGUGGCCUUGAGCCGUGGCUUUCGGGAGCUAACGCGUUAAGUAGACCGCCUGGGGAGUACGGUCGCAAGAUUAAAACUCAAAUGAAUUGACGGGGGCCCGCACAAGCGGUGGAGCAUGUGGUUUAAUUCGAUGCAACGCGAAGAACCUUACCUACUCUUGACAUCCAGAGAACUUUCCAGAGAGGAUUGGUGC
rnacentral:rRNA from 1 species